GACGAACGCUGGCGGCGUGCCUAAUACAUGCAAGUCGAACGAAAGCAACCGGUGCUUGCUCUGGUCAAUCUAGUGUCGAACGUGUGAGUAACACGUGGGUACCCUGCCCAUCAGACGGGUAUAACAUCCGGAAUAGUAUGCUAAAACCGCAUAAGUCUUCAAACCUGAUUGUUUGAAGAUGAAAAAAGGCACAAGCUUCUUGUGAUGGUUGGACCCGGGGUUCAUUUGCAAGUUGGUGUGGUAACGGCACACCAAGGCCGGGAUGCAUAGCCGACCUGAGAGGGUGAUCGGCCACAUUGGGACUGAGACACGGCCCAAACUCCUACGGGAGGAAGCAGAGGGGAAUCUUCCGCAAUGAACGAAAGUCUGACGGAGCAACGCCGCGUGAGUGAAGAAGGUUUUCGGAUCGUAAAACUCUGUUGUUAGAGAAGAACAAGUGCUAGAGUAACUGUUAGCGCCUUGACGGUAUCUAACCAGAAAGCCACGGCUAACUACGUG
rnacentral:rRNA from 1 species